GUAAUCUGCAGAUGGGUUUUCCGGCGACGCGCGCGUCCAAGUUCCCUGGAAUGGGAUGCCUUAGAGGGUGAGAGCCCCGUACAGGCGCGCGCCGAGCCUCCGUGAGGCCCAUUCGACGAGUCGAGUAGUUUGGAAAUGCUGCUCUAAUCGUGGGGUAAAUCUCCCAUAAGGCUAAAUAUCGGCCGGAGACCGAUAGCGCACAAGUAGCGUGAGCGAAAGAUGAAAAGAGCCUUGGAUAAGGGCGUCAAAAAGCAUGUGAAAUUGUUGUGGGGGAAGCGCUCGUCGCCAGACGUGGCGGCGGCUGGUUAACCGGCGUCCUCGCCGGCUCACUCUGCCCGCCGCCAGGCCAGCACCGGCUCGGACCGGGGCUCAAUGCCAGCGGGAAUGUGGCUCCCUUCGGGGAGUGUUAUAGCCCGUCGGCGACGCCCUGAACCGGGCCGAGGAUCGCGCAUCUGCUCGGAUGCUGCU
rnacentral:rRNA from 1 species